AAACGACUCUCGGCAACGGAUAUCUCGGCUCACGCAUCGAUGAAGAACGUAGCAAAAUGCGAUACUUGGUGUGAAUUGCAGAAUCCCGUGAACCAUCGAGUUUUUGAACGCAAGUUGCGCCCGAAGCCUUUUGGCCGAGGGCACGUCUGCCUGGGCGUCACGCA
rnacentral:rRNA from 1 species